AACGAACGUUGGCGGCAUGCCUAACACAUGCAAGUCGAACGAAGCCUUCGGGCUUAGUGGCGCACGGGUGCGUAACGCGUGGGAAUCUGCCCUGUGGUUCGGAAUAACAGUUAGAAAUGACUGCUAAUAUCGGAUGAUGUCUUCGGACCAAAGAUUUAUCGCCCAAGGAUGAGCCCGCGUAGGAUUAGGUAGUUGGUGGGGUAAUGGCCCACCAAGCCGACGAUCCUUAGCUGGUCCGAGAGGAUGAUCAGCCAUACUGGGACUGAGACACGGCCCAGACUCCUACGGGAGGCAGCAGUGGGGAACAUUGGACAAUGGGCGAAAGCCUGAUCCAGCAAUGCCGCGUGAGUGAUGAAGGCCUUAGGGUUGUAAAGCUCUUUUACCAGGGAUGAUAAUGACAGUACCUGGAGAAUAAGCUCCGGCUAACUCCGUGCCAGCCGCCGCAGUAAAAC
rnacentral:rRNA from 1 species